GAGUUUGAUCAUGGCUCAGAUUGAACGCUGGCGGCAGGCCUAACACAUGCAAGUCGGGCGGUAGAGAGAAGCUUGCUUCUCUUGAGAGCGGCGGACGGGUGAGUAAUGCCUAGGAAUCUGCCUGGUAGUGGGGGAUAACGCUCGGAAACGGACGCUAAUACCGCAUACGUCCUACGGGAGAAAGCAGGGGACCUUCGGGCCUUGCGCUAUCAGAUGAGCCUAGGUCGGAUUAGCUAGUUGGUGAGGUAAUGGCUCACCAAGGCGACGAUCCGUAACUGGUCUGAGAGGAUGAUCAGUCACACUGGAACUGAGACACGGUCCAGACUCCUACGGGAGGCAGCAGUGGGGAAUAUUGGACAAUGGGCGAAAGCCUGAUCCAGCCAUGCCGCGUGUGUGAAGAAGGUCUUCGGAUUGUAAAGCACUUUAAGUUGGGAGGAAGGGCAGUAAAUUAAUACUUUGCUGUUUUGACGUUACCGACAGAAUAAGCACCGGCUAACUCUGUGCCAGCCGCCG
rnacentral:rRNA from 1 species